UACGUAGGGGGCAAGCGUUGUCCGGAAUCAUUGGGCGUAAAGAGCGUGUAGGCGGCCCGGUAAGUCUGUUGUGAAAGUCCAGGGCUCAACCCUGGAAUGCCGAUGGAUACUGCCGGGCUAGAAUUCGGAAGAGGCGAGUGGAAUUCCUGGUGUAGCGGUGAAAUGCGCAGAUAUCAGGAGGAACACCAAUUGCGAAGGCAGCUCGCUGGGACGUUACUGACGCUGAGACGCGAAAGCGUGGGGAGCAAACAGG
rnacentral:rRNA from 1 species